rnacentral:ncRNA from 1 species
CAUACAGGGGAGCUGAUUGCUGAGAGGUACGCCGCAGGGCGUACGACCCUUAGACCUGAUUUGGGUAAUGCCAACGUAGGGACGG